GACGAACGCUGGCGGCGUGCUUAACACAUGCAAGUCGAACGGAAAGGCCCUGCUUUUGUGGGGUGCUCGAGUGGCGAACGGGUGAGUAACACGUGAGUAACCUGCCCUUGACUUUGGGAUAACUUCAGGAAACUGGGGCUAAUACCGGAUAGGAGCUCCUGCUGCAUGGUGGGGGUUGGAACGUUUCGGCGGUUGGGGAUGGACUCGCGGCUUAUCAGCUUGUUGGUGGGGUAGUGGCUUACCAAGGCUUUGACGGGUAGCCGGCCUGAGAGGGUGACCGGCCACAUUGGGACUGAGAUACGGCCCAGACUCCUACGGGAGGCAGCAGUGGGGAAGAUUACACAAUGGGCGGAAGCCUGAUGCAGCAACGCCGCGUGCGGGAUGACGGCCUUCGGGUUGUAAACCGCUUUCGCCUGUGACGAAGCGUGAGUGACGGUAAUGGGUAAAGAAGCACCGGCUAACUACGUG
rnacentral:rRNA from 1 species